AAAGAGGCCCAACGUUAGACCUAAGAAGCGACGAAUGGAUUGAUGGGAAACGACAAGGUCCGGAGGGACCGGACGUGUGUAGCUGUUUGAAAGAAAAGCGUAUAGAAUUAUGAUUGUUGGAGGUCGGUCAAAGUGGCGACCGAAACGACCAUAUACGGUGUUGUGAGGCGGUGAUAUGCACGACGAUGGAUGUUUUCGUCAGCAUCAACGUUUGGCGUAAACAAUGUUUUCGUUACGGCUUUUCCAGAGAGCAAUACAAUGUUCUCG